rnacentral:rRNA from 1 species
GCUUCUUCUGUCAGUACGUCCAGCUAGCAGGUAUUAACUACUAACCUUUCCUCCUGACUGAAAGUGCUUUACAACCCGAAGGCCUUCUUCACACACGCGGCAUGGCUGCAUCAGGCUUGCGCCCAUUGUGCAAUAUUCCCCACUGCUGCCUCCCGUAGGAGUCUGGGCCGUGUCUCAGUCCCAGUGUGGCUGAUCAUCCUCUCAAACCAGCUAGGGAUCGUCGCCUUGGUGAGCCAUUACCUCACCAACUAGCUAAUCCCACUUGGGCCAAUCUAAAGGCGAGAGCCGAAGCCCCCUUUGGUCCGUAGACAUUAUGCGGUAUUAGCAGUCGUUUCCAACUGUUGUCCCCCACCUCAAGGCAUGUUCCCAAGCAUUACUCACCCGUCCGCCGCUCGUCAGCAAAGUAGCAAGCUACUUUCUGUUACCGCUCGACUUGCAUGUGUUAGGCCUGCCGCCAGCGUUCAAUCUGAGCCAUGAUCAAACUCU